GGGUAUAUGUCUUCGGAUAUAGAGACCGGCGCACGGGUGCGUAACGCGUAUGCAAUCUACCUUUUACAGAGGGAUAGCCCAGAGAAAUUUGGAUUAAUACCUCAUAGCAUAGUGACUCGGCAUCGAGAUACUAUUAAAGUCACAACGGUAAAAGAUGAGCAUGCGUCCCAUUAGCUAGUUGGUAAGGUAACGGCUUACCAAGGCUACGAUGGGUAGGGGUCCUGAGAGGGAGAUCCCCCACACUGGUACUGAGACACGGACCAGACUCCUACGGGAGGCAGCAGUGAGGAAUAUUGGACAAUGGGCGCAAGCCUGAUCCAGCCAUGCCGCGUGCAGGAUGACGGUCCUAUGGAUUGUAAACUGCUUUUGUACGAGAAGAAACACUCCUUCGUGAAGGAGCUUGACGGUAUCGUAAGAAUAAGGAUCGGCUAACUCCGUGCCAGCAGCCGCGGUAAUACGGAGGAUCCAAGCGUUAUCCGGAAUCAUUGGGUUUAAAGGGUCCGUAGGCGGUUUAGUAAGUCAGUGGUGAAAGCCCAUCGCUCAACGGUGGAACGGCCAUUGAUACUGCUAAACUUGAAUUAUUAGGAAGUAACUAGAAUAUGUAGUGUAGCGGUGAAAUGCUUAGAGAUUACAUGGAAUACCAAUUGCGAAGGCAGGUUACUACUAAUGGAUUGACGCUGAUGG
rnacentral:rRNA from 1 species